AGGUCAACGCCGUUCACCUGGAGGCGGGAACAUCACCUGUUGCUCUGAACCAAUCACAGCGCGGGACGAUUUAAUGGGCGGAGCUCCUACCGACACCAGGCGGUCUCCUUUCCUCAGCUCCCCGCUCAGGUCUGCCGGACCGCCGGCCAGGAUGAAGGAGAUGAAGAUGCCCUCGCCGUCUUCGCCGCCCACGAUGUUGAAGCCCAGACCCGUCGCCCCGCGGUGCAGAACCACCUUCCGCGGCUCCCUGCGGUCACACAGCCGCUCGUCAUGUGACCUCGGGUCAUGUGACCUCGGGUCAAGCAGCCAAUCCAGGAGCUCCAGCCGGUUGUCUGUGGUUGUGCUGAAAUGAUCCCCGCUGUUCUAACUGAAACCUGAAGCGUUUUGUUCGUCCCAGCCGGAUCUGGUUACUGAACUACAUGUUAACCUCGCUGGUUCUGAUCCAGAGGAAGUCUGGCUGCUGGAAGCAACAAACGUCAGGAAACCUAAACGAUGUCCUCACCGUGUGACGUCAUCUUCUCCCAGAAUGCCCUUCGGCGUGGGCGAGUAUCGCCCCGACGACGCCGGCGGGGGCAGGCUCUGGCCCAGGAAGUUGGGGGGGCUGAUAUGGUUCUCCACGUGCUGCGUGUAGGCUGGAACAGAACCGCAGAGACGAGCAGCGUCUGAUCCACUCGAUUGACCAGGGAUGAGGCUUGUUAGCUGCAGUAGAUCCCUCCUGAUCUACUGCAGGAAAUGAAUCGUUUGAGGAACUGAUUCAUUUCCUGCUGAAUGAAU